AUAUUCUUUCCCUCAUUCUCUCUCUCCCCGUACCAGCCACAUUUCCUCUCCCCAUUUCCCCUUUGUCUCUUCGCCUAUCCUUCUUCUUCUGCGCACCUAGAGAUGCUUCUCCUCGGCACAUAAGCUUGGCCUCUUCUCCUCGGUGCAUAAAUGACUUCGACGGCGCCCAGCAUAGGCGGUUGGCCGCAUGGAAGGCUUCUUUGGUACAUUCUUGGCUACUUGGACGAUGGUGGCUCGAUCUUCAACGAUAGAGGUAAGGUUUCUCCCCCUCUCCUUCGUUCAUUUUUUUUUUCUGUUGCAGGUGGUUGUGAAGAUAGCUAGUUUUUUGUUUCAGAUUUGAUAUUGUACGAUAUAAUUGUUUGUGCAAGACAUGGGUUGUGUACGCUUAGGGCGGGGCUGGGCUUGCGAUGUUGUCGUUCAUGGAGGAUGAAGUUAGGCUCAGAGGUGGCUGGAAACGGGAUUGGCCUCGCGGAUUGCAUUGUCGUCGUUCAUGGAGGGGGCUGGGCUCGUUGAGAUGAGGGUUGGGCUUGCGAAGGUGGCUGGAAACGGGGUUGUGAAGCUCUGUUUUUCGAUGGAUAUGGGUGUCAUGGGACCUCAUUUGAUCAGACAUAUCGAUGUUACCCUGCAUUAUUUAUUGAAAAGCCACAACUUGAGAGUGGGGAUAAAAUCUUAAUGGAUUCAGAAACGAGAGGGAUAAUGGCAGCAGUAUAUGCCACUGGACAACCAAGGAGAACUUUCAAGAUUAUAUUUAUUGCAGUCCGAUGCUUUUUGUUGAGGGAACAAGCUUCACACAUCUUCUCAUAUACCAUUUGGUUUGUCCUUUUAUGAAUUAUGUAAAAUUAGAACAAUUUUAGAGUGACAUUAUUUGUAAGAUCUAUCAAUAGAGUAUCAUAUUGAAAUAUUUAUAUUGUUAUUAUGACUUA